UCUCUCUUGGUAUAUCGGUAGAACACAACCCUGUCAUUGAAUCUGAUGAUCAAGCACGGUUGAGAGCUGGGUUCGACUCCCAGAGGGAGAG